rnacentral:rRNA from 1 species
GUAAAACUUUCAGCGACGGAUGUCUUGGCUCCCACAACGAUGAAGAACGCAGCGAAAUGCGAUACGUCUUGCGACUUGCAGAAUCCAGUGAAUAUCAAAACUUUGACGCAUCUUGCGCUUCCGGGAUAUGCCUGGGACAUGCUUGUCGGAGUGUCUGUU